GAUGAACUCUAGCGACAGGCUUAACACAUGCAAGUCGAGGGGCAGCACAGGUAGCAAUACCGGGUGGCGACCGGCGCACGGGUGAGUAACGCGUAUGCAACUUGCCUAUCAGAGGGGGAUAACCCGGCGAAAGUCGGACUAAUACCGCAUGAAGCAGGGAUCCCGCAUGGGAAUAUUUGCUAAAGAUUCAUCGCUGAUAGAUAGGCAUGCGUUCCAUUAGGCAGUUGGCGGGGUAACGGCCCACCAAACCGACGAUGGGUAGGGGUUCUGAGAGGAAGGUCCCCCACAUUGGUACUGAGACACGGACCAAACUCCUACGGGAGGCAGCAGUGAGGAAUAUUGGUCAAUGGCCGAGAGGCUGAACCAGCCAAGUCGCGUGAGGGAUGAAGGUUCUAUGGAUCGUAAACCUCUUUUAUAAGGGAAUAAAGUGCGGGACGUGUCCCGUUUUGUAUGUACCUUAUGAAUAAGGAUCGGCUAACUCCGUGCCAGCAGCCGCGGUAAUACGGAGGAUCCGAGCGUUAUCCGGAUUUAUUGGGUUUAAAGGGUGCGUAGGCGGCCUUUUAAGUCAGCGGUGAAAGUCUGUGGCUCAACCAUAGAAUUGCCGUUGAAACUGGGGGGCUUGAGUAUGUUUGAGGCAGGCGGAAUGCGUGGUGUAGCGGUGAAAUGCAUAGAUAUCACGCAGAACCCCGAUUGCGAAGGCAGCCUGCCAAGCCAUGACUGACGCUGAUGCACGAAAGCGUGGGGAUCAAACAGGAUUAGAUACCCUGGUAGUCCACGCAGUAAACAAGAAUCACUAAGCUGGUUUGGGAUACACGGAAAGCGGCACCACGAAAAGCGUUAAGUGAUCCCCCCUGGGGAGUACGCCGGCAACGGUGAAAACUCAAAAGGAAUUGACGGGGGCCCGCACGAGCGGAGGAACAUGUGGUUUUAAUUCGAUGAUACGCGAGGAACCUUACCCGGGUUUGAACGCAUUCGGACCGAGGUGGAAACACCUUUUCUAGCAAUAGCCAUUUGCGAGGUGCUGCAUGGUUGCCGUCAGCUCGUGCCGUGAGGUGUCGGCUUAAGUGCCAUAACGAGCGCAACCCUUGCCACUAGUUACUAACAGGUAAAGCUGAGGACUCUGGUGGGACUGCCAGCGUAAGCUGCGAGGAAGGCGGGGAUGACGUCAAAUCAGCACGGCCCUUACAUCCGGGGCGACACACGUGUUACAAUGGCGUGGACAAAGGGAAGCCACCUGGCGACAGGGAGCGAAUCCCCAAACCACGUCUCAGUUCGGAUCGGAGUCUGCAACCCGACUCCGUGAAGCUGGAUUCGCUAGUAAUCGCGCAUCAGCCAUGGCGCGGUGAAUACGUUCCCGGGCCUCGCACAAAGCGCCCGUCA
rnacentral:rRNA from 1 species